CAAAGCUCAUUUCUCUUAAGUAGCUGAAUGACCUUGGGCAAGUCAUUUUAUUUCCCAAAGGGCUCUUUCUCUAUCUGUUAAUCCUACCUGCCCCAGAGGGUAGCUGUGAGGAAUUAAAGGUGGUGGUUGUUCUGAGACAGGGGCUAAAUGCUCACUGUUGUUCUCCUGCCCAAACAACCUCUCAUCCUUUGCCCCUAGAUCACCUGCAUCACUGGGAGCCUGGUCUGAGCUUUGCAGUCUGGCCAGGAGCUGAGAGUAUUGCCCAGGCAGGCUGAGGGAGCAUCUGGGGAAGGGAGGAGUUUGGCUUUUCCACACCCUCACAUCCCCCUCCAACCAGAAGGUUUUCCUUAGGUCUUACUCCUUCCUGCCCUCAGUUGUUACGGGCAACCAAGGGGGGUGUGUGUGUGCGCAAUCAGUAACCUUUGUUACUUUGAUAGGACACCCAAGUUUCAAACGAAUGCUUAUAGAGCAGGGGUGCCCAAAUCUAAGGUGCAUCAGAAUCAGCUGGAAGGUGGGUUCAAACAGUUUGCUGCCCCCACCUCCAUAGCCAUUGAGAAUGUGCCCUUGAGUUCCCACCUGCUGCCUGCCUGCAGCUGCCAUGGAGUCAGGGAGGCUAGGCCGCCUUGAUCAGCAAAGAUCAAGUAGCCUGUAUGCUUGGGUUCCGGGGAGAAGGCCCACAGGCACACGCUUGAGGGGGUAGGUGUUCUUUGUGCCAUGGUAACAAUUAUGAUUUUAUGCUUAAAGAUUAGGAAACCCCUAUUCUGGAUCACAGAGGACCAUCUCAAAAUCAACAGCAGCAUGGGAUUUCGGGGCCUGCUUUUGCGUGUACAUCGCCAGAGAUUUCCAAAACUGGUGACCUUUACCUUUGGACGUAGUGUUUGCCUAACUGGGCUCUGUGGACGAGGUCUAGGAGUCCAGGAAGCCUCAGGUUUUGAAAAACAGUGGCCUGGUAAAGCCCCCAGCAAAUGCAAGGUCUUAGCAGGGUUUUUCCAAAGAGACAGCUUGUGGCAUUUUGAGCAAAAGGAUGUUUCCCGUGCUUCCCAGGAAAUUGAGCAUCGCUGGAUCUUGCCCAUUAAAUGCCAGGUGGUGCUCCAGAGUCAUGAUAUAACUCCAAACCAUUUGCAGAGGUUUUCAAAUCCCCUGCGGGACUGGGCUGGGAGGUGGUCAGUCCUGAUAGCUUUUAGAAAUUCUUUCAAGAGAAUGGCCAAGCUUUGCCCAAGGAGAGACCCAGACGCUCAAGAGAGGCAGACCCCUAAGACACAGAUUAUACUUGACAAGAAAGUUAUGAAUGGAAUGAAGAGUCCAACCAAGCAAUAAAGAGAUUAGUUGAAUACAAUCCAGAGGUAUAGAAAAACUGGCUAUAACCCAGGUGGGGCUCCAAAAUUCACCUGUUCAAAUGCGGAUAUACAACUUUGAAGAUUUCAAGUUAAAAAAAGUAAUGUUAACGAGGCUCAUUGGAUUGCAAAAUUAAACCCCAGCCCAGAGGCUUGGGCUUGGUGAAGAAGGAAAGAGGCUCUCUACGGACAGACAUGAAACAGAAUUUGACUCACCGUCCGAGAGCUACAUGAUUUCUCUUGGCUCCAGUAGAGUCAUCUUGUAUGUGGGGAUCACAGGUCAUGUUCUGGGCUCCACUCUCUAAAUGAUAAAUAAUGCUAUUGUGACUCCGGCUGUCAUCUCAUUCUGCCAGAGAUGGUAGGUCCACUCAUUAGUAGGCAAGAUGAUAUUGAAAUAUAGUGAUCAUAAAGUAAAUAGAAUUGGUAGCAUUCAUAUUUUGGUGUGGUUUAGGAAUAAGUUUUAUAAUCAUUGGGAUAUUUUGCGUGCGUUUGUGUUGUUUUAAGAUAUUUCAAAUAUAUCUGGCAUAUCAGAUAAUCGGAUUAAGAUUUGAAAUGUAUAAUUUAUAUUAGACUCGUGACAUUAACUUUAAAGGUACUGUAGACUUAUG
ensembl:lncRNA